rnacentral:rRNA from 1 species
GAGACAGCAGCCGCCACGGUAAUACAGAGGAUGCAAGCGUUAUCCGGAAUGAUUGGGCGUAAAGCGUCUGUAGGUGGCUUUUCAAGUCCGCCGUCAAAUCCCAGGGCUCAACCUGGGGGCUGCAUUUGAUACUGUUUGGCUUGAGUUCGGGAGAGGUGAGUGGAAUCCCCAGUGUAGAGGUGAAAUUCGUAGAUAUUGGGAAGAACACCAGUGGCGAAGGCGGCUCACUGGACCGACACUGACGCUGAGGCGCGAAAGCGUGGGGAGCAAACAGGAUUAGAUACCCGCGUAGUCCCUGUCUCUUAUAC